UGGAGACUCUGAUUUAGCCUCUCCUAGGCUUUGUCUGUCCAGAGAAUUACACUACUAGACAUAGCCUAAAAGAGGUUAGUUCAAGUCACCCAA
rfam:Zootermopsis nevadensis contig17879, whole genome shotgun sequence.